UACGUAGGGGGCAAGCGUUGUCCGGAAUUAUUGGGCGUAAAGAGCGCGUAGGCGGUCCGAUAAGUCGGCUGUGAAAGUCAGGGGCUCAACCCUUGGAAGCCGGCCGAUACUGUCGGACUAGAGUCCGGAAGAGGCGAGUGGAAUUCCUGGUGUAGCGGUGGAAUGCGCAGAUAUCAGGAGGAACACCAAUAGCGAAGGCAGCUCGCUGGGACGGUACUGACGCUAAGGCGCGAAAGCGUGGGGAGCGAACAGG
rnacentral:rRNA from 1 species